rnacentral:rRNA from 1 species
UACGGAGGGGGCAAGCGUUGUUCGGAUUUACUGGGCGUAAAGGGCGCGUAGGCGGCUUUGUAGGUUACUUGUGAAAUCUCCGGGCUUAACUCGGAACGGCCAAGUAAUACUGCAGAGCUAGAGUGCAGAAGGGGCAACUGGAAUUCUUGGUGUAGCGGUGAAAUGCGUAGAUAUCAAGAGGAACACCUGAGGCGAAGGCGGGUUGCUGGGCUGACACUGACGCUGAGGCGCGAAAGCUAGGGGAGCAAACAGG